rnacentral:rRNA from 2 species
AGUAACGGCGAGUGAAGCGGCAACAGCUCAAAUUUGAAAUCUGGCCUCUUUGGGGUCCGAGUUGUAAUUUGGAGAGGAUGUUUCGGGUACGGUCCGGGCUUAAAUUUCUUGGAACAGAAUGUCACAGAGGGUGAGAAUCCCGUCUGGAGUCUGCGACACGGCCUAUGUGAAACUCCUUCGACGAGUCGAGUUGUUUGGGAAUGCAGCUCUAAAUGGGUGGUAAAUUUCAUCUAAAGCUAAAUAUUGGCCAGAGACCGAUAGCGCACAAGUAGAGUGAUCGAAAGAUGAAAAGCACUUUGAAAAGAGAGUUAAACAGUACGUGAAAUUGUUGAAAGGGAAGCGCUGGCAACCAGACUUGCGCGUCGGGGUUCCCCCUGGCUUCUGCCUGGGCUACUCCCCGGCGCUCAGGCCAACAUCGGUUUUGGGGGUCGGUUAAAGGCCCCGGGAAUGUACCUACCCUUCGGGGUAGACUUAUAGCCCGGGGUGUCAUGCGGCCACCCGGGACCGAGG